rnacentral:lncRNA from 1 species
GUCGUGUCUUCAUCCCAGUGCCCUGACAUCUUGAGAAGCCUUCUUCCUCAGUGGAUUGGAUGUUACUGUUCUUGACAACACCAGGAGGAGUUUCUCCAUGCAGUAGCUUGGUCUUCCUAUGGGCCCGAUUGAUUCUUCUUCAGCACAUUAAGUGGUCGCUGUUUAAAUCUUAUUGAUGAUGUCUUCAGUUCCAAGAGAUGCCUCUGAUGUCCCCCGUGUGUAUGAAUUAAAUAUGGGUGCUGGACUCCGGAACACAUUUACCUGUUUGCUGUGUUUUUUGUUGUUUUGUUUUUUGUUCUUGUCUUGGUUUUUUUUUUUUUUUUUUUUUUUUUUUUUUUUUUUUAAUUCUGAAAUGCAGAUGUGUCAUUUAGCCUACUUGUGUGUAGCCUACACAGAUGUUUCUUUGUGUCUACUGCUUGGGUAUGGGUCCUUUCAUCAUUGACUAAAAGUAUGAUUUUUCUCAGAGACAGGGCUUCAUUUAUUCUAGGCUGAACUUAAACUCGCUGAACUCAGUUUGCAGUGCAGGAUGACCUUGAACCUUUCUCUCCCGGUCCUCCCACCUCUGCCUCUCCGGUGCCGAGAUCACAGAUGUUUGUCACCAUGCCAGAUUUUGAGGGUUUAUGUGAUGCUGGGAUUGGAUUUAGGGCCAUGCGCAUGCUCAGAAUUCACUCCAGUAAUGGCACUACAGUUCCAGGCCCAAGGCCUCAUGUUGCUCAGGGUAGCUUCUAGUUUAUGCUGUGUAGCCAGGGAUAACCCUAAUUUUCUGACCCUCUUGUUUCCCCCUCUCAUGGACUGGGAUCACAGGCGCCUACCACCAUAGUAGCUGUCAUGAUUUUUAAAAUACCACCUUCCCCCCAACACUUCAGUGGAGUUAAGAGGAAUUUUAUAACGUGUGAUUAGGUUUUUGUUUUUGUUUUUUU